UUUGUCUUAAAAAAAAAAAAAAAAAAAAAAAAAAAAAAAAAAAAAAAAAAAAAUCAAAAAAAAAAAAAAAAAAAAAAAAAAAAAAAAAAAAAAAAAAAAAAAAAAAAAAAAAAAAAAAAAAAAAAAGUAACAAAAGAAAAGGAAACAAUGAUAUUUUAUGGAUAUAACAUUAUGUAUUUAUUUAUAAACAGAUAAUAUGGAUGUGUAUGUGUGUGUGUCUAUGUGUAUUUGAGAUGUUUUUAAAUAAAAAUAUGAACAUACUAUAAGUAUUUUACA
rnacentral:lncRNA from 1 species